rnacentral:tRNA from 1 species
GGUAGUGUGGCUGAGCGGUCUAAGGUGCUGGAUUUAGACUCUAGUCUCUCCAGGGGUGUGGGUUUGAAUCCCAUCACUACUA